UACGGAGGGUGCAAGCGUUAAUCGGAAUUACUGGGCGUAAAGCGCGCGUAGGUGGUUUGUUAAGUUGGAUGUGAAAGCCCCGGGCUCAACCUGGGAACUGCAUCCAAAACUGGCAAGCUAGAGUAUGGCAGAGGGUGGUGGAAUUUCCUGUGUAGCGGUGAAAUGCAUAGAUAUAGGAAGGAACACCAGUGGCGAAGGCGACCACCUGAUCUACUACUGACACUGAGGUGCGAAAGCGUGGGUAGCAAACAGG
rnacentral:misc_RNA from 1 species